rnacentral:pre_miRNA from 10 species
GGAGGGCUUCUAUUAUCAGGGGUCUUGUAUGGGCUGGAGCGGCUGCAAAGCAGUGAUGGUGGUUUCUGUAUUGCACUCGUCCCGGCCGAUAUCUGGACCUCCCUUCCUUCAUCCUCCCUC